AGCAUAUAAGUAAGCGGAGGAAAAGAAACUAAAUAGGAUUCCCUCAGUAAUGGCGAAUGAACAGGGAUGAGCUCAGCAUGGAAAUUGGGGCCUGUGGCCUUGAAUUGUAGUCUGGAGAUGUACCACCAACUGGGGCGCAGAUGUAAGCCUCUUGGAAAAGAGCAUCAAUGAGGGUGAGAGUCCCGCUUGGCAUCUGCAGUCCCCAGUGCACGGUGUACCUUCUAAGAGUCACGUUCCUCGGGAUUGGAGCGCAAAUCGGGUGGUAAGUUUCAUCUAAAGCUAAAUAUUGUUUCGAGACCGAUAGCAAACAAGUACCAUGAGGGAAAGGUGAAAAGGACUUUGAAAAGAGAGUUAAAAGUGCCUGAAAUUGCUGAAAGGGAAGCGAAUGGAAUCAGCGUAACUUGGUGAGAUUGCUGCGUGUCAAUGUGAUUGCUUGCUGCUUCAACGUAAGUGUGGUAGUAAGUCUUGAGCAGGACAUGCGCGGUGCUUCUUGCCUUGUGUGUCACCGUCAGUUCGCAGCUGGGGAAAACUUCAAAGACAUGGUAGCCUGUCUCCGGGCGGGUGAAUGUGUUUGCUGGAACUCAUGUGUGGAUUGCUUGGUGACUAAAUGGUUCCAUCUGACCCGUCUUGARR
rnacentral:rRNA from 1 species